rnacentral:rRNA from 1 species
CCUACGGGAGGCAGCAGUGGGGAAUAUUGAACAAUGGGGGCAACCCUGAUCCAGCCAUGCCGCGUGUGUGAAGAAGGCCCUCGGGUUGUAAAGCACUUUCAGUGAGGAAGAACGCCUGGUGGUUAAUACCCAUCAGGAAAGACAUCACUCACAGAAGAAGCACCGGCUAACUCCGUGCCAGCAGCCGCGGUAAUACGGAGGGUGCGAGCGUUAAUCGGAAUUACUGGGCGUAAAGCGCGCGUAGGUGGCUUGAUAAGCCGGUUGUGAAAGCCCCGGGCUCAACCUGGGAACGGCAUCCGGAACUGUCAAGCUAGAGUGCAGGAGAGGAAGGUAGAAUUCCCGGUGUAGCGGUGAAAUGCGUAGAGAUCGGGAGGAAUACCAGUGGCGAAGGCGGCCUUCUGGACUGACACUGACACUGAGGUGCGAAAGCGUGGGUAGCAAACAGGAUUAGAUACCCGGGUAGUC